GGCUGACAUUCACAUCCAACCCUUUCACCUCUGGGUAAGACGCGGCCACCCAGCCCUCCGGAUGCCAGCGCCAGCCUUGGGCCCCACAGCACGUCCCGCUUUCCACCCCCAGGCCCUGCUGCUCCUGGCUCUGGCACAGUCUCUUAGAGUCUGUCCGUGGGAUAAUUUUUCUUCUGAACAUUGGGGAAAAUAUUUGUGCAUGACAAACAGGCUACGUGCGUGGUCACAAUUUUUGUAGGGAGGCGACCCUGCUUGCAGCAGGCAGUGCAUUUGCAGCCCCACGGCAUGGGUGAGGCAGCUCAGCACAGGAGCAAGAGCACACGGGCCCAGAUGCGACACUUGUGGCUGGCAGUGACAUUGGUUCUGGCCUGAGAGCUCACUGGGCCGUCACGGGAGCAUCUCUGUGUGGAUCUCCACGGGAUUUCUCCACACGCUGUGGGCUCCAUUCUGAGAGGGAACAUUCCUGGAAACUCAAGCAGACGCUGCAUGGCCUCUUAUGACCUGAUCUCCGGAGCCUCCCAAUGCCAUGCCCACUGCAUGUUGAUCGUCAAGUGCCUGGGAGGAGCCCCCCUCGAGGGAGAAGAACUAGAUCCCGCCCUUCCCAUGAAGAGCGGAAUCGGCUUCCAAGGUGUUCGUGGCGGUCACCCCAGAGACCAUCCACCUCUUCCCCUCCCUUGACUGGGGACAUUCCCAUUUCACAGGGAAAUUGCAAGAAAUAAACAAGGUAAUGUACAGGAAGCUCACUA